GCUCAUUGCUCAGCCUCUGGGUAUUAAUCUGCUGAGCUGGUGGCCACCUAAAUACAAUCGUCCUGUUCCCCUCAUUGGUCUCUCCGGUCUCCUGAUUCCAGCCACAUUUUGGUGAGCCAGCCAGGAGUGAAGACGACAGGUUUGCUGUCUCCUUUGCCUGUGGGUCUGGGGCCCCAGCCUGGGGGAGACCCGUGACUCCAGGCAUGCUAUCAGGACAACUUCAACCCGAGGGGAGAUCAGCUCUCCCGCAACCUGGUGCCGCUCUCUGACAGCACAACAGAACCUAAGGGGCUACAGGAUGAUUCAAGGAACAGUGUGCUACAGGACCUCGAUGGGGUCUCGCUCUGUCCUGGAGUGCAAUGGCACGAUCUUGGCUCACUGCAACCUCCGCCUCCCAGGUUCAAGCAAUUCUCCUGCCUCAGCCUCCCGAGUAGCUGGGACUACAGGCACACGCCAACACGCCAGGCUAAUUUUUUGUAUUUUUAAUAGAGAUGGAGUUUCACCAUGUUCCCCAGGCUGGUCUUGAACUCCUGAGCUCAGGCAAUCCACCUUCCUCUGCCUCCCAAAGUGCUAGGAUUACAGGCGUGAGCCACCGCGCCCGGUCUAUUUAUUUUCUUAACAGGGUAUUUUGCUAAGAAGUUUUACAUUUUGGUGAAGUCUAGUUUUUCCAUUUUUUUAUUAUGCUUAUUAUUUCUUAUGACUUCAGAUUUCCUUCCCUUCACUUAAUUAAUGGAGGUAUUGUAGUAUGAUUUCUUUUACCUUGUAUUUUGAAAUUUUACCUUUUACUCUGUGGUCCAUCUUGAAUUAUCUUUUAUGUAUGAUGUGAGGAUGUGAGAUUACUUUUCUUCAUAUGAAAAUGCAAUUUUUCCACCUUCCAUUCUUGAAGAAAUUAACUUUCCCCAUUUGACUGUUUUGGUGUAUUGGACAGUAAGUUUAAAAAUAUGUUUUAAAAAGUAUUUGCCAUGUUUAAAAAAUGUUUAGAAAGAAAGGCCACAUUCUUGUCUUUUUCCUUAUCUUAGAGGAAAAGGCUUCAACUUUUCACAUUGAGUAUGAUGUUAGCUGUUGGAUUGUCAUACAUGGAUUUUCUUGUUGGUGAACUUUUCUUCUAUACCUAAUUUGUAAUUGAUAAUAAUAAUAUAUUGUUUAUAUCAAAACAGCUAAAAAAGGGAUUUUAAAUGCUCUCACCACAAAGAAAUGAUAGUAUUUGGGUGGGAUAAAUAUGUUAAUUGACCAUAUUUGAUUAUUCCACAAUGUACAUGUAACAAAACACCACAUUGUACCCCAUAAAUAUAUAAAAUUAUUAUUUGCAAUUAGAAAUAAAAUAUAACUUAAAAAAGAAAA
rnacentral:lncRNA from 1 species